rnacentral:rRNA from 1 species
AAUAGAUACCCAGGUAGUCCACGCCGUAAACGGUGGGCACUAGGUGUGGGCAACAUUCCACGUUGUCCGUGCCGCAGCUAACGCAUUAAGUGCCCCGCCUGGGGAGUACGGCCGCAAGGCUAAAACUCAAAGGAAUUGACGGGGGCCCGCACAAGCGGCGGAGCAUGUGGCUUAAUUCGACGCAACGCGAAGAACCUUACCAAGGCUUGACAUACACCGGAAAGCAUCAGAGAUGGUGCCCCCCUUGUGGUCGGUGUACAGGUGGUGCAUGGCCGUCGUCAGCUCGUGUCGUGAGAUGUUAGGUUAAGUCCCGCAACGAGCGCAACCCUUGUCCCGUGUUGCCAGCAACUCUUCGGAGGUUGGGGACUCACGGGAGACCGCCGGGGUCAACUCGGAGGAAGGUGGGGACGACGUCAAGUCAUCAUGCCCCUUAUGUCUUGGGCUGCACACGUGCUACAAUGGCCGGUACAACGGGUUGCCAAACCGCGAGGUGGAGCUAAUCCCUUAAAGCCGGUCUCAGUUCGGAUUGCAGGCUGCAACUCG